UACGGAGGGUGCAAGCGUUAAUCGGAAUUACUGGGCGUAAAGCGCACGCAGGUGGCUGAGUCAGUCGAUUGUGAAAGCCCUGGGCUUAACCUGGGAAUUGCAGUCGAUACUACUCAGCUAGAGUAUGGGAGAGGGUAGUGGAAUUCCCGGUGUAGCGGUGAAAUGCGUAGAUAUCGGGAGGAACAUCAGUGGCGAAGGCGGCUACCUGGCCCAAUACUGACACUCAGGUGCGACAGCGUGGGGAGCAACAGG
rnacentral:rRNA from 1 species